rnacentral:rRNA from 1 species
GCCCCCUUUGUGGUCGGUGUACAGGUGGUGCAUGGUUGUCGUCAGCUCGUGUCGUGAGAUGUUGGGUUAAGUCCCGCAACGAGCGCAACCCUCGUCCUAUGCUGCCAGCGGGUCAUGCCGGGGACUCAUGGGAGACUGCCGGGGUCAACUCGGAGGAAGUGGGAUGACGUCAAAUCAUCAUGCCCCUUAUGUCUUGGGCUUCACGCAUGCUACAAUGGCCGGUACAAAGGGCUGCGAUACCGCGAGGUGGAGCGAAUCCCAGAAAGCCGGUCUCAGUUCGGAUUGGGGUCUGCAACUCGACCCCAUGAAGUCGGAGUCGCUAGUAAUCGCAGAUCAGCAACGCUGCGGUGAAUACGUUCCCGGGCCUU